AUUAAUUUCAAUGCCAUGAGAUCAAUGUGAUGUAAACGCGCAUUCCUUGCCUUUUUAGAUUAUUAAAAUUAGAUUUUUGUCCAUUACAGCCUUUAAGCAAAUCUCUGGUAAUAAAUUUCAGAAAACCACCUUUUGUACACAAAUCUGCCCACCCCCCAUCCUACUGCAUGCAGCGCUAAGUCAAAACAACCCAAUUUUUAGGUCAUCUGUCGCGGGCAUUUUGGAUCGUUAGCAGGAGAAAUUCUAAGGUGCACCUUUCAAGCAGACUGACUUCAGCCUUUUUUUCUGGUGAAAUAAAGACCUGCUCUUGACUGUCCUUGGUGGCAAACCCACAGCCUUUCGCUCGAGGUGUUUUGAUUAUGCAUGGAUGGAUUGCUUUGUUCAGGAAAAGUUAACUGAAUGGCAGCUUCCAGAACUUGUUAAUAGUUUUGAAGAACAGGCAAUUGAUGAGGAGAGGUUUUUGCUUUUUAGAUGAGGGGACCAUUAAAUGCCUAAUUCCAAGGAUCGGUGUUAGGCUGAAGUUCCUGAAAUACUACAAAAAAUUUGUGAGUUGCUAGAACUGGGUCG